GCUCUCGUAGCUCAGUGGAUAGAGCACUUGCUUGCGGAGCAAGGGGUCGUGUGUUCGAGUCGCACCGAGAGCG
rnacentral:tRNA from 1 species